rnacentral:rRNA from 2 species
CAUCCUUUUGGAUGAGUUAUUUCAAUGAGUUGAAUACAAAUGAUUCUUCGAGUAGCAAGGAGAGGGCAAGUCUGGUGCCAGCAGCCGCGGUAAUUCCAGCUCUCCUAGUGUAUCUCGUUAUUGCUGCGGUUAAAAAGCUCGUAGUUGGAUCUAGGUUACGUGCUGCAGUUCGCAAUUUGCGUCAACUGUAGUCGUGACUUCUAAUUUGCUGGUUUGAGGUUGGGUUCGCCCUUCAACUGCCAGCAGGUUUACCUUGAAUAAAUCAGAGUGCUCAAAACAAGUGUUUGCUUGAAUAGCUCAUCAUGGAAUAAUGAAACAGGACUUCGGUUCUUUUUGUUGGUUCUAGAACUGAUUUAAUGGUUAAGAGGGACAAACCGGGGGCAUUCGUAUCAUUACGCGAGAGGUGAAAUUCGUGGACCGUAGUGAGACGCCCAACAGCGAAAGCAUUUGCCAAGAAUGUCUUCAUUAAUCAAGAACGAAAGUCAGAGGUUCGAAGGCGAUUAGAUACCGCCCUAGUUCUGACCGUAAACGAUGCCAUCUCGCGAUUCGGAGGGUUUUUGCCCUGCCGAGGAGCUAUCCGGAAACGAAAGUCUUUCGGUUCCGGGGGUAGUAUGGUUGCAAAGCUGAAACUUAAAGAAAUUGACGGAAGGGCACCACAAGGCGUGGAGCUUGCGGCUUAAUUUGACUCAACACGGGAAAACUCACCCGGUCCGGACACCAUUAGGACUGACAGAUUGAAAGCUCUUUCUCGAUUUGGUGGUUGGUGGUGCAUGGCCGCUCUUAGUUGGUGGAGUGAUUUGUCUGGUUUAUUCCGAUAACGAGCGAGACUCUAGCCUGCUAAAUAGUUGGCGAAUCUUCGGGUUCGUAUAACUUCUUAGAGGGAUAAGCGGUGUUUAGCCGCACGAGAUUGAGCGAUAACAGGUCUGUGAUGCCCUUAGAUGUCCGGGGCUGCACGCGUGCUACACUGGUGGACUCAGCGGGUUUUUCCUAUGCCGAAAGGUAUCGGUAAACCGUUGAAAUUCUUCCAUGUCCGGGAUAGGGUAUUGUAAUUAUUGCCCUUAAACGAGGAAUGCCUAGUAAGUGUGAGUCAUCAGCUCACGUUGAUUACGUCCCUGCCCUUUGUACACACCGCCCGUCGCUAUCCGGGACUGAACUGAUUCGAGAAGAGUGGGGACUGUCGCUUCGAGGUUUAACGACUUCGUUGUUGCGGAAACCAUUUUUAUCGCAUUGGUUUGAACCGGGUAAAAGUCGUAACAAGGUAGCUGUAGGUGAACCUGCAGCUG